AUUUACAUAUCACAUAGUUAAUAUAAAAC
rnacentral:other from 16 species